rnacentral:rRNA from 1 species
GUGGGGAAUAUUGGACAAUGGGCGAAAGCCUGAUCCAGCCAUGCCGCGUGUGUGAAGAAGGUCUUCGGAUUGUAAAGCACUUUAAGUUGGGAGGAAGGGCAGUAAGUUAAUACCUUGCUGUUUUGACGUUACCGACAGAAUAAGCACCGGCUAACUUCGUGCCAGCAGCCGCGGUAAUACGAAGGGUGCAAGCGUUAAUCGGAAUUACUGGGCGUAAAGCGCGCGUAGGUGGUUUUGUAAGUUGGAGGUGAAAUCCCCGGGCUCAACCUGGGAACUUCCUCCAAAACUGCAUGACUAGAGUACGGUAGAGGGUAGUGGAAUUUCCUGUGGAGCGGUGAAAUGCGUAGAUAUAGGAAGGAACACCAGUGGCGAAGGCGACUACCUGGACUGAUACUGACACUGAGGUGCGAAAGCGUGGGGAGCAAACAGGAUUAGAUACCCUUGUAGUCC